rnacentral:rRNA from 1 species
CUACGGGACGCUCCAGUGAGGAAUAUUGCACAAUGGAGGGAACCCUGAUGCAGCAACGCCGCGUGGAGGAUGACGCAUUUCGGUGUGUAAACUCCUUUUAUAUGUCAAGAAAAUGACGGUAGCAUAUGAAUAAGCAUCGGCUAACUCCGUGCCAGCAGCCGCGGUAAUACGGAGGGUGCAAGCGUUACUCGGAAUCACUGGGCGUAAAGGACGCGUAGGCGGGUUGGAAAGUCAGGUGUGAAAUCCUACAGCUUAACUGUAGAACUGCACUUGAAACUUCUAAUCUAGAGUAUGGGAGGGGGAGAUGGAAUUAGUGGUGUAGGGGUAAAAUCCGUAGAUAUCACUAGGAAUACCUAAAGCGAAGGCGAUCUCCUGGAACAUUACUGACGCUAAGGCGUGAAAGCGUGGGGAGCAAACAGGAUUAGAUACCCUAGUAGUC